rnacentral:rRNA from 1 species
CCUACGGGAGGCAGCAGUGGGGAAUAUUGCACAAUGGGGGAAACCCUGAUGCAGCGACGCCGCGUGAGUGAAGAAGUAAUUCGUUAUGUAAAGCUCUAUCAGCAGGGAAGAAAAUGACGGUACCUGAGUAAGAAGCCCCGGCUAACUACGUGCCAGCAGCCGCGGUAAUACGUAGGGGGCAAGCGUUAUCCGGAUUUACUGGGUGUAAAGGGAGCGUAGACGGCAGUGCAAGUCUGGAGUGAAAGGCGGGGGCUCAACCCCCGGACUGCUCUGGAAACUGUGUUUCUUGAGUGCUGGAGAGGCAAUCGGAAUUCCGUGUGUAGCGGUGAAAUGCGUAGAUAUACGGAGGAACACCAGUGGCGAAGGCGGCUUACUGGACUGUAACUGACGUUGAGGCUCGAAAGCGUGGGGAGCAAACAGGAUUAGAUACCCCUGUAGUC